GACGAACGCUGGCGGCGUGCUUAACACAUGCAAGUCGAACGGAAAGACCCUGCUUUUGUGGGGUGCUCGAGUGGCGAACGGGUGAGUAACACGUGAGUAACCUGCCCUUGACUUUGGGAUAACUUCAGGAAACUGGGGCUAAUACCGGAUAGGAGCUCCUGCUGCAUGGUGGGGGUUGGAAAGUUUCGGCGGUUGGGGAUGGACUCGCGGCUUAUCAGCUUGUUGGUGGGGUAGUGGCUUACCAAGGCUUUGACGGGUAGCCGGCCUGAGAGGGUGACCGGCCACAUUGGGACUGAGAUACGGCCCAGACUCCUACGGGAGGCAGCAGUGGGGAAUAUUGCACAAUGGGCGGAAGCCUGAUGCAGCAACGCCGCGUGCGGGAUGACGGCCUUCGGGUUGUAAACCGCCUUCGCCUGUGACGAAGCGUGAGUGACGGUAAUGGGUAAAGAAGCACCGGCUAACUACGU
rnacentral:rRNA from 1 species